rnacentral:lncRNA from 1 species
UACUAUGAUAGUUGGCAGACAGUCAAGAGAAAAGCAUGUAAUUUUUCUAAUUUUUUUUUUUUUUGAGACAGAGUCUCGCUCUGUCACCCAGGCUGGAGUGCAGUGGCACGAUCUCGGCUCACUGCAAGCUCCGCCUCCUGGGUUCACGCCAUUCUCCUGCCUCAGCCUCCUGAGCAGCUGGUACUACAGGUGCCUGCCACCACGCUUGGCUAAUUUUUUGUAUUUUUAGUAGAGACGGGGUUUCACCGUGUUAGCCAGGAUGGUCUC